rnacentral:rRNA from 1 species
GGUGAGUAACGCGUAUCCAACCUUCCGUACACUCAGGGAUAGCCUUUCGAAAGAAAGAUUAAUACCUGAUGGUAUGAUGAGAUUGCAUGAUAGCAUCAUUAAAGAUUUAUCGGUGUACGAUGGGGAUGCGUUCCAUUAGGUAGUAGGCGGGGUAACGGCCCACCUAGCCAACGAUGGAUAGGGGUUCUGAGAGGAAGGUCCCCCACAUUGGAACUGAGACACGGUCCAAACUCCUACGGGAGGCAGCAGUGAGGAAUAUUGGUCAAUGGACGAGAGUCUGAACCAGCCAAGUAGCGUGAAGGAUGAAGGUCCUACGGAUUGUAAACUUCUUUUAUAAGGGAAUAAACCCUCCCACGUGUGGGAGCUUGUAUGUACCUUAUGAAUAAGCAUCGGCUAACUCCGUGCCAGCAGCCGCGGUAAUACGGAGGAUGCGAGCGUUAUCCGGAUUUAUUGGGUUUAAAGGGAGCGCAGACGGGUCGUUAAGUCAGCUGUGAAAGUUUGGGGCUCAACCUUAAAAUUGCAGUUGAUACUGGCGUCCUUGAGUGCGGUUGAGGUGUGCGGAAUUCGUGGUGUAGCGGUGAAAUGCUUAGAUAUCACGAAGAACUCCGAUUGCGAAGGCAGCAC